CGUUCGCGUUUCGCGAGAUAACAGGCCGCUACACGAGCGCUCGUCUUCAAUUUGUUUCAAACGAAACGAGCGAAAAACAUUGCCUGUAUGGGAGGGCAUGGACGGUGGCGAGUGAUCUUGUCAGGCUGCGUCGCAGCACUCAGUCCAGGUUCAGUCCACCGACAGACAUUCGCGCGUACGGAUCGUUCGCUCCCGUUUAGUGCCGUUUAGUGUGUAGUGCGUAUGUGAGUCUGUUGUGUGUACCGGUUCUGUGAUCGGUUCUGUGGACGGCUUCCUUCGGGUCUUAGACUACCGGAGUUUGAAGUAUUAAAAGUGCAUUUAAAAUAAGCCAAAGAGUGGACCAAUUAAAGCCACCCGACACAGGGGGGAGCACAUGGAAAACGGCUAGCAGCAGGUUAGGACUGUAAAACUUUCACGGAUGUAGAAAUCAAAGAAGAAAAUCCGGAUCCGGAGUGGGAAAAGGCCAGUGGAGUGAUCGCCAGAUAUCCAGUUGCUAACCGUACAUGAAGCUGCAGUGCAAGUUGGUGGUUCUCUUUUUUGAAGUAAGCACUUAAUUUACUGACCGCUUCCGUACGAUCAGACACCGUCCCAAUAUACAGCUCAAUACAGUGGACCUAUCGGGUAUAGAGUAAUAGAAACCGCUUCGCACCAAACGCAGCCAGUUCCACCGAACGGGUCCGCCAUAGGGUUGGGCAUCGAAAUACUGAUUGAACGGGAGGCCGUUUGUCUCUCGCUUUCCACAGAACAGAGGGCGAACAGGAGAGCCACGCAGGCGGCGGCAGUGACGAACAAACAAGGCGAGGCGUUGAUCUGAUAAAAUCUAAUUGCUUUAGUUUGUUUGUUUAUCGCACCACGAGAUCUGCAAACGAUCUCGUUCUCUGCUUUUUUUGCUCUGAAGACAGAGCGACGGACAAGUGCCUUUGGUUCUCUGUUUGGUUGUGCGUGCCCUUUUAGAGAGAGAGAUAGUAAGGGAGAUAUAACCUGAGAGAGAUAUUAAAACAGCUGUUUUAAGUGAUACGAUCCGUAGCAGCGGCAGCUUCAUUGUAGGGCUUCUUGAAGGACGGCAUCACGGGUCUAAUCAGUGCACGGGACACAGAAUAAGAUAAAUAAUUGCCCAUCCCGCUUAGUUCCUACCCCGCUGGCUGGUUCUUCCACCGAUGUCGUAACUAUCCCAAGGCCACCAGAACACGCAACAGUUCAGCAGAACAGAACGGUAUCACUUUCUAAACAGCGCACCUUCAAAAAAAUGACACAUCUUACCACACCCCUGCUGAUAUGCAUCAUCGUCACCGUCGGUUACCGAACCCUGGCAGUGGCGGCGUACGGCCAGAACCCACCGAAGCGACCCCACAUCGUCCUCAUCACCGCGGACGAUAUGGGCUGGAAUGACGUCGGGUUUCACGGCUCGAACCAGAUAGCGACGCCGCACAUUGACGCGCUCGCGUACGACGGUGUCAUCCUGAACCGGCACUACUCGGCCCCGAUGUGUACGCCGUCCCGGGCGGCCCUGAUGACGGGCAGACACCCGAUCAACGUCGGCAUGCAGCACUACGUGAUCGACAGCGACGAGCCGUGGGGCCUCGGGCUGGACCAGCGCAUCAUGCCGCAGUACUUCCGCGCGGCCGGCUAUCGGACGCACAUGAUUGGGAAGUGGCACCUUGGCUUCUUCACCGAGCACUACAUACCGACGAACCGGGGGUUCGACACGCACAUCGGCUACCUGGGGCCGUACGUGGACUACUGGAGCUACGUGUCCAAGAUGAAUAGCGGUACGUUCGAAGGCUACGAUAUGCGCCAGAAUCAGUUCGUCAACUAUGCCGCUAACGGGACGUACGCGACGGACUAUUUCACCUCGGCCGCGCGGGACAUCAUCGCCCAGCAUGGCAAGAGCGGUCAGCCGAUGCUGCUGGUAAUGAAUCAUCUGGCACCGCACGCGGGCAACGAUGAUGAUCCGCUGCAAGCACCGCAGGAAACGAUCGAUCGUUUUGCGUACAUCGGCAACAGGGAUCGUCGCACGUACGCUGCCAUGAUGUCGAAGCUGGACGACAGUGUCGGCGCCGUGUAUGAGAGCCUGCGAGCGAACGGUAUGCUCGACAACUCGAUCAUUGUGUUUCUGAGCGAUAAUGGGGGUGUUACGCGCGGCAUGCACAGCAACACCGGCUCGAACUAUCCAUUCCGUGGUCAAAAACACUCCCCCUGGGAAGGUGCGGUACGGACCGCAGCACUCAUCUGGAGCCCACUGCUGAAGGACACGCAGCGCGUCUCGAACCAAUGGUUCCACAUCUCCGACUGGCUGCCAACGCUCGCUUCUGCCGCCGGCAUUGCCUUGGGCAACAGUUCCUUCAGCGAUAUCGAUGGCAUCGACCAGUGGGAAGCACUCGCGUACGGUACGGGCAAUCCGCGCCAGAGGCUGAUGAACAAUCUGGACGAAAUCUUCGGCUACACCAGCUACAUGGAGAACGGGUUUAAGUACAUCAACGGCACGACACUGAACGGGGUGAACGAUGCGUGGUACGGCGAGACGGAUCCACUCGAUCAGCUGCCGGACGAUGAACAGUAUCUCAGCAGUGUCAUGGCCACCCGGAUUGCCCGUGCUGGCCGGCUGGAUGAGAAGCUUAUCUCCUACCUUCGUCGACACGCGACCGUCAAUUGCGGCAACUCAAUUGCAACCAAACCCUGCAAUCCGCUGGUGAAACCGUGCCUGUUCGACAUCAUCAACGAUCCGUGCGAAAUGCACGACAUCUCGGAUGAGUAUCCGAAACGGCUGCGUGGAAUACGCAACCGGCUGGAGCUGUACCGGCUUCGGGCAGCUAAACCGCGCAACCGGCCGCACGAUCCAGAAGCCGAUCCGUCCAAAUUCGGUGGCGUUUGGAACUGUUGGCGUACCGAUCCGACCAAGGCCGCUUCCCUGCAGGACGAAGGCGAUGACUCCGCGUUGCCACCACCGACGCACUCGCUCGCCAAGGACACGCAGCUGUUUGACCAAGAAGCAAGAUUCCGCCACUACGCCCAGCGAGAUACCGACGGACGCGUCCAGCCCGGAUGGUAAAGCGGCGGCCGAUGCUGCCUUUAGCUCGAAAAUCUACGUCAUUAGCGAUAGGGAUAUGGACAGCUCAUCAAAGCAAGAUCAGUGCAGCGUGUGAACAUUGAUCGGCGAAGAUCUUCAGUCCCAUAUCGGCCAACGAUCCUCCAGCAACGUUUAUUUGUUAUCACCGAGAUAUUGCCAGAAAUAAAUAUUUCAGACUUCUCA